GUCGAUGUCCGUUUGCCGCGUUUGUAUUCCCGAGAGAGGAAUAUCACUCGGGAGAGAGUUUAUAACCUCAAUACUACAGAGUCACUUCGGCAAUGCAGUAACCCCAAGGAUGCACUUUUGGGUAAUUAUAUUGUCACAGAAGCACCUAAUAGGUGCAAUGCGAGGUAAUAUCAUUUAAUUGUCUAUACUAAUAAAGAUAAUAGUUAAGAUUCAAACUAUGCAGCAUAUGCAUGCUAUAUCAAAUUUAGUUAAUCCUUAUUGUAUUAACGUUGUUGUAAAAUGUAUUCCCCGAGGGUCCAUCGCGUAUCAGCAAUACAGUAAUAAGGAAAACACACUAUCCACGUGAAAUGGACAGUACGCAUAACCUUCAAGAGGACAUCAUCACACACCGUCACAUCACCAAACAUCAAGAUACACAUACAUCAGCCCAUAAAUGCUAUUAAAGUCACCAGAUAUCAAAGUUGUCACCGGAUAAAAAUACUAUGACGCAGGACUAGCUGCGGAGAAAGUAUUAUUUAUCCAAAUUCAGUAUGUUCAGUAAUGAAACAACAGUCAAAAAUAUAUAAAGUGCCACCAGUUGACUCAAAUAGAUCUCAUAAAGCUGAGUAUUGACGUAUGGAUACAGAUGAAGAAAAAUCACACACCUAGCACAUCGUAUGCACCAAUAAUGUAAUGUCAUCAGGAUGGUAAUAAAUUGUCUCACGUGGACCACCAGCAGUUUCCAAGAGGCUUCAUACACCACAGUCCCUCCGAGGAAGACCGGGUUGAUGAGGCCGUGUUGCAGCGUCAAAGGGAUGAUAUAUCCACUCAAUUAUAUAUCACUAUUUUAUAAUUAAUUUGCACACAUUGAAUAUCAUAUAUUUUAUAUGUCAAUUGUAAUUAUUGUCACUAAAUGAGUUACAACUUACACACUAGUAUAAUAGUUUUUAGUUAAUUUAGUAACGUAAUACUAAAUUCUCAGUAUAUCACAAGUUACAAUAUAUCAGUUUACAAAGGAUAUUAAUUUUAUUUAAAAUGUAACUAGUUAACUACCUUUUCACGGUAUAUCAAGUAAAGCAGCUAAUCAAUUAAAGAUUCAUAUAUUUUGAGACCCAAUAUUAGUUUAUUUAUUAAUAUCUCAAAAAACAUAAAAAGUAUAUAGAAAGUAUAUUAUACUACAAUCACAGUCUUGUGUAGAAUUAGCUAAUAGCCAACCACUAUAUAAUACUUAUGCAAAUAUCUUAUUGCAUUUAUAAGAUGUCACUUGCAAAUAAUCCAGAUUUUAUAGAUCACUUGCUUCAAUAGAAAAGCUUUACUUAUCUUGUAAAUUAGAACUAAAUUACUCACUAAAUAAUCUAAAUAUAGAUCAUUUAUUCAGAGUACAUAUAUGAAGACAUAUCUAAGUCUAUAGAACUAUAAUUUAUGAUGAAUGCUUAUGCAAAUCGCUAUUCACUAUGUUCCUAUCUUAAGAAUACAAACAGUCAUCAGGAUACAAGCAUUUCCAUGUAUCAAUACAAUUCUUAUAAGAAUUUGUAUAUUUCGCAGAAUACAUGAAGAGGAUAAAUUAUGCAAUGCAGCCAUCCACUAGCAACUCUGACACCCCAUGAAUAAGGAUUCUUCUUCAAUUAUUGUAUAAACAAUCUUCUCAAGAUAAUUUUAAAGUCAAGAAUCGCUCAGCUACAAUAAGCACAUCCAAAUGCAUAAGAGAGGCAGUCAGACGUAGUUUAAUGAAAACAUCCAUAUAAAAAGAGGGCACUAAGAUGUUAUAUCAAUGGCAGUGCACACAUUACAUAUAGAAGAACAUGUAGCAAUAUUCAUGAAAGAAGCAGUUACUUCUUCACACAGCGAGAGUACAGCAGCAAAGUACAAACAGCUCACCACAAUGAUAGUGUAUGAAAUAAAAGGAGCACUCAUACCCUGUCUAAUUUAUACAAUAUAUAUCGAUAAUUACAGUAAAUUUCUCAAUUCAGUCUAACUUAUGUAUAUUCUAUUAUUGUCAAUCAGUUGAGUAAAGACACUAUAUGUUAA